rnacentral:rRNA from 1 species
AUUGAACGCUGGCGGCAGGCCUAACACAUGCACGUCGAACGAGUUGCGGACGGGUGAGUACUUUCUGGGAAACUGCCUGCUUGAGGUGGAUACCUACUUGAAACGUUCGCUAAUACCCCCUACCCUCAUAUUUUCCCAGAUGGGAUUAGCUUGUUGUUGGGGUAACGGCUCACCAAGGCGACGAUCCCUAGCUGGUCUGAGAGGAUGACCAGCCAAACUGGAACUGAGACACGGUCCAGAAUCCUACGGGAGGCAGCAGUGGGGAAUAUUGCACAAUGGGCGCAAGCCUGAUGCAGCCAUGCCGCGUGUAUGAAGAAGGCCUUCGGGUUGUAAAGUACUGUCAGCGGGGAGGCGUUACCCGCAGAAGAAGCAACGGCUAACUCCGUGCCAGCAGCCGCGGUAAUAC